rnacentral:rRNA from 1 species
UACGUAGGUGGCAAGCGUUGUCCGGAAUUAUUGGGCGUAAAGCGCGCGCAGGCGGUCCUUUAAGUCUGAUGUGAAAGCCCUCGGCUCAACCGAGGCGGGUCAUUGGAAACUGGAGGACUUGAGUGCAGAAGAGGAAAGUGGAAUUCCAAGUGUAGCGGUGAAAUGCGUAGAGAUUUGGAGGAACACCAGUGGCGAAGGCGACUUUCUGGUCUGUAACUGACGCUGAGGCGCGAAAGCGUGGGGAGCAAACAGG